UAACAGGAUUAGAUACCCUGGUAGUCCACGCCGUAAACGAUGUCGACUUGGAGGUUGUGCCCUUGAGGCGUGGCUUCCGGAGCUAACGCGUUAAGUCGACCGCCUGGGGAGUACGGCCGCAAGGUUAAAACUCAAAUGAAUUGACGGGGGCCCGCACAAGCGGUGGAGCAUGUGGUUUAAUUCGAUGCAACGCGAAGAACCUUACCUGGUCUUGACAUCCACGGAAGUUUUCAGAGAUGAGAAUGUGCCUUCGGGAACCGUGAGACAGGUGCUGCAUGGCUGUCGUCAGCUCGUGUUGUGAAAUGUUGGGUUAAGUCCCGCAACGAGCGCAACCCUUAUCCUUUGUUGCCAGCGGUCCGGCCGGGAACUCAAAGGAGACUGCCAGUGAUAAACUGGAGGAAGGUGGGGAUGACGUAA
rnacentral:rRNA from 1 species